GCCUUCGUGGUGUAAUGGUCAGCUCCUUCGAAUCAUAACCGAGAGGUCCGUGGUUCGAUUCCCGGCGAAGUCC
rnacentral:tRNA from 1 species